UACGUAGGGGGCAAGCGUUAUCCGGAUUUACUGGGUGUAAAGGGAGCGUAGACGGCGCGGCAAGUCCGAAGUGAAAGGCGGGGGCCCAACCCCCGGACUGCUUUGGAAACUGUCAUGCUUGAGUGCGGGAGGGGCAGGCGGAAUUCCUAGUGUAGCGGUGAAAUGCGUAGAUAUUAGGAGGAACACCGGCGGCGAAGGCGGCCUGCUGGACCGUAACUGACGUUGAGGCUCGAAGGCGUGGGGAGCAAAC
rnacentral:rRNA from 1 species